GUGGCCAGCAGCCGCGGUAAUACGGAGGGUGCAAGCGUUGUCCGGAAUCACUGGGCGUAAAGGGUGCGCAGGCGGGGCAGCAAGUCGGAGGUGAAAGCCCGUGGCUCAACCACGGAAGUGCCUUCGAAACUGCUGCUCUUGAGUCCCGGAGAGGUUGCCGGAAUUCGUGGUGUAGCGGUGAAAUGCGUAGAUAUCACGAGGAACACCAGAGGCGAAAGCGGACAGCUGGACGGGUACUGACGCUCAGGCACGAAAGCGUGGGGAGCAAACAAGAUUAGAUACCCGGGUAGUCC
rnacentral:rRNA from 1 species